rnacentral:rRNA from 1 species
UACGGGGGGGGCAAGCGUUGUUCGGAAUUACUGGGCGUAAAGGGCUCGUAGGCGGCCAACUAAGUCAGACGUGAAAUCCCUCGGCUUAACCGGGGAACUGCGUCUGAUACUGGAUGGCUUGAGUUUGGGAGAGGGAUGCGGAAUUCCAGGUGUAGCGGUGAAAUGCGUAGAUAUCUGGAGGAACACCGGUGGCGAAGGCGGCAUCCUGGACCAACAUUGACGCUGAGGAGCGAAAGCUAGGGGAGCAAACGGG